AGCCAAUGCUAUUUUACAAAAGACAUUGAAAACAAGCUAUUUGUGAGAUGACUUCUUUCCCAUGGGUGGAGCUGAGACAAGAACUGUCCAUCUUGCUGAAAGAUUCUCCAUCAAUAAUACAUUCUUGCUCUUGUCAUUUCUCCCUUUACCUGACUGAGGUGUGCUCAUAUGUGUUGAGCCUAUAAGCCAUGUAUAUUCAUUUUCAACAUUAGUUCAAAAUAUUUGAUAAAACAUAAGAAUCUAAAAAUAAAAAGAACUUAAUUCAGACUGCUAUGAAUUGACCAGAGCUUCCUGUUGCUGAGGCUAUUGUUGAAAUCUUGUUGUAAGUGGGAGCACACUAAAGAAGGUAUUCAUGGAUAACUGUUCAUGUGUUGCUAGAGAAAAGAGAAUUUAAGAAAUUAAUGUAAGAGGACCUGAUAUUCCCCCUCUAAGGUAUCUAUCAAGAUUACCUGUAAAAAUGAGAUAAGAAGAUCUAAAUAUGGUUUAAGAAACAAAAGAAAAACUACAGAGUUAGUUUUUUACUAACUAACUAACUACCUAACUAACUAACUAACUAACUGUGUAGUUACUCUUCUUGGUAAAUACCUGAGCACCUGCUCAGUCACAUUGUAGACUGAAGGAUCACCAUUCCUAAUAAUCUCUAUAGAAAACAAACUCGGGUUGUUUGUGCCCGGGUGUUUUGCAAAGGUUUUCUUUAAAGUGAAUAAUGGGAUUUGUGACUGCAACAUCCAAGCUUCCAAAUGAAAAAGAUACGUUUUGGAAAAUGCCAUAUCUGGCUCAAAAAAAAAAAAAAAAAAAAACUAAUUAGGUUGUAUACUAGAAAAUGUAACUAGUUGAAAAAUUUACCUGACUCAAUGCCCAGUGAACAAAUAUAUGCCAAAAGAGUGAUGCUCAGUAUUGUGUGUGUGCAUGCAAGAACAAAAGAGCCACUCAUGACACAAGACAGAUGUUAGAGACAUUAGCAAAUGGGGGUGGAAAGCAUUUUCUUAUGCUUUUACAGUCCACAUUG
rnacentral:lncRNA from 1 species